rnacentral:rRNA from 1 species
GCAAGUCGAACGAAAUGUUUCGAUCUAGUGGCGCACGGGUGCGUAACGCGUGGGAAUCUGCCCUUGGGUUCGGAAUAACAGCUGGAAACGGCUGCUAAUACCGGAUGAUGACGUAGGUCCAAAGAUUUACCGCCCAAGGAUGGGCCCGCGUAGGAUUAGCUAGUUGGUGAGGUAAAGGCUUACCAAGGCGACGAUCCUUAGCUGGUCUGAGAGGAUGAUCAGCCACACUGGGACUGAGACACGGCCCAGACUCCUACGGGAGGCAGCAGUGGGGAAUAUUGGACAGUGGGCGAAAGCCUGAUCCAGCAAUGCCGCGUGAGUGAUGAAGGCCUUAGGGUUGUAAAGCUCUUUUACCGGGGAUGAUAAUGACAGUACCGGGAGAAUAAGCCCCGGCUAACUCCCUGCCAGCAGCCGCGGUAAU